rnacentral:rRNA from 1 species
GGGGGGUGCAAGCGUUGUUCGGAAUUAUUGGGCGUAAAGCGCGUGUAGGCGGUUUGUUAAGUCUGAUGUGAAAGCCCUGGGCUCAACCCAGGAAGUGCAUUGGAAACUGGCAGACUUGAAUACGGGAGAGGGCAGUGGAAUUCCUAGUGUAGGAGUGAAAUCCGUAGAUAUUAGGAGGAACACCGGUGGCGAAGGCGGCUGCCUGGACCGAUAUUGACGCUGAGACGCGAAAGCGUGGGUAGCAAACAGGAUUAGAUACCCUGGUAGUCCACGCCGUAAACGAUGAGUACUAGGUGUUGCGGGUAUUGACCCCUGCAGUGCCGCAGCUAACGCAUUAAGUACUCCGCCUGGGAAGUACGGUCGCAAGACUA